rnacentral:rRNA from 1 species
GUAAAGAACUUGCCUCACAGCUAGGGACAACAUUUAGAAAUGAAUGCUAAUACCUGAUAUUAUGAUUUUAAGGCAUCUUAGAAUUAUGAAAGCUAUAAGCACUGUGAGAGAGCUUUGCGUCCCAUUAGCUAGUUGGUGAGGUAACGGCUCACCAAGCCGACGAUCAGUAGCCGGUCUGAGAGGAUGAACGGCCACACUGGAACUGAGACACGGCCCAGACUCCUACGGGAGGCAGCAGUGGGGAAUCUUCCGCAAUGGACGAAAGUCUGACGGAGCAACGCCGCGUGAGCGAUGACGGCCUUCGGGUUGUAAAGCUCUGUUAAUCGGGACGAAAGGCCUUCUUGCGAAUAGUGAGAAGGAUUGACGGUACCGGAAUAGAAAGCCACGGCUAACUACGUGCCAGCAGCCGCGGUAAUACGUAGGUGGCAAGCGUUGUCCGGAAUUAUUGGGCGUAAAGCGCGCGCAGGCGGAUAGGUCAGUCUGUCUUAAAAGUUCGGGGCUUAACCCCGUGAUGGGAUGGAAACUGCCAAUCUAGAGUAUCGGAGAGGAAAGUGGAAUUCCUAGUGUAGCGGUGAAAUGCGUAGAUAUUAGGAAGAACACCAGUGGCGAAGGCGACUUUCUGGACGAAAACUGACGCUGAGGCGCGAAAGCCAGGGGAGCGAACGGGAUUAGAUACCCCGGUAGUCCUGGCCGUAAACGAUGGGUACUAGGUGUAGGAGGUAUCGACCCCUUCUGUGCCGGAGUUAACGCAAUAAGUACCCCGCCUGGGGAGUACGACCGCAAGGUUAAACUCAAAGGAAUUGACGGA